rnacentral:lncRNA from 1 species
AUAAAGAGCAAUUGCUUGGGGAAGAACAUUGUCGUGGCCUUUUUUGGUGAGAAUCCUGUUAAUCUCUUGCAUUCUUUAUGGGGGAAUGGAUAGCUAAUGUUCAUGACCCUCUUUUAUUCCUAACCUGUGCAGGAGAAAAUCCCACUGGAAAUCUUGAGUUUCACUAGAUGGCAGCAUCUUGGUGUUUCAACACGAAGCUGCGUUGGUGUAGAGAAACUUCUCAGUUAGACUACAACUCCCAACAAGCAUAGCAAAACAAAUGAGCGUAAAACUUCCUUUUUCCAAAGGUCAGUAAACCCAACAAGCUGGUUGAGAUCUUUUGGUGAGUGACUAUACUAACCUUUAUUUUUAAAAGCUUCAAAGAAUUAGUGUGUCAAAUAUUCAUUAAAAAUGAUUGUUAGGUUAAAAAAAAGCUUCCAAAAUUAUGUGGUGAUUCAAGGAAGUGUUGAGGGAUUUCUGAAACAGCAAAGAUCCCAGGGCUUGCUGCAGCUGAGCAAACCAAGUUCCCAUGACAGUGUUCCCACAUCGCCCAAGUGAGGAAUUUAGAGAAAUAUUGUUGCCAGCAGCUGGCUUCAAGGACAAGGUCUACGUGACUGCUAAUCACAAGGGGGUUGUUUUCUUGCAGGUGGGGUUGUUUUCUUGUAGUUGUCUGUCUGAGUGCGUUUGACCAAUAAUCUUGUGUGAGACACUAUCCUCCCGUUUAAGUUCACUAGAAAAGUCAGGCUAUUCGGGCACUAAAAUGGAGCAUGAUCUGACCAUUCUGGUGUCUGUCAUGCUUUCGGCCGUGCUUCCUGCAACGUAUGGGGCCCGAACAGGCUGAGACUGACACGCAGAGAUCUGACAGAUGCUGACAGAAACAGAGAGGCUUCAGAGACACGGAGAGCCCUGAGAGAAGCUGAGAGACCUGAGACACACGGAGAGACUUCAGAGGCACAGAGAGCCCUGAGAGAUGCUUCAGAGACAUGGACGGCUCUGAGAGACACGGAGAGCCGACAGAAGCCGCAACACCCGAGAGACACUGAGAAACUCCAAGCACCAACCCGGACACAGGACACGCGGCCAAGUGAUGGUUGA